UGCGAGUUGUUCUGACUUUGGGGGU
rnacentral:piRNA from 1 species